UCCAGCUUCACCUUCAGCAGCUACGGCAUGGAGUGGGUCCGACAGGCCCCCGCGAAGGGGCUCGAGUUUGUCGCACGUAUUAGCUACGAUGGUAGUUACACAGAGUACGAGCCGUCGGUCAAGGGCCGCUUCACCAUCUCCCGGGACAACUCCCAGAGCACGGUCACGCUGCAGAUGAACAGCCUCCGGGCCGACGACACGGCCACCUACUACUAG